rnacentral:rRNA from 1 species
UACAGAGGUCUCGAGCGUUAGGCGGAAUCACUGGGCUUAAAGCGUGUGUAGGUGGAUCGUUAAGUACCUUGUGAAAUCCCACGGCUUAACCGUGGAACUGCUUGGUAUACUGGCGGUCUUGAGCCAGCUAGGGGCUACCGGAACAAAUGGUGGAGCGGUGAAAUGCGUAGAUAUCUGGAGGAAUACCGGUGGCGAAGGCGGCAUCCUGGACCGGCAUUGACGCUGAGGAGCGAAAGCCAGGGGAGCAAACGGG